rnacentral:rRNA from 1 species
UGGGGAAUAUUGGGCAAUGGGCGCAAGCCUGACCCAGCAACGCCGCGUGAAGGAAGAAGGCUUUCGGGUUGUAAACUUCUUUUAAGAGGGAAGAGCAGAAGACGGUACCUCUUGAAUAAGCCACGGCUAACUACGUGCCAGCAGCCGCGGUAAUACGUAGGUGGCAAGCGUUGUCCGGAUUUACUGGGUGUAAAGGGCGUGUAGCCGGGCUGACAAGUCAGAUGUGAAAUUCCGGGGCUCAACCCCGGACCUGCAUUUGAAACUGUUGGUCUUGAGUAUCGGAGAGGCAGGCGGAAUUCCUAG